GUCGUCAGCUCGUGUCGUGAGAUGUUGGGUUAAGUCCCGCAACGAGCGCAACCCUAUUGUAGUUGCCAUCAUUCAGUUGGGCACUCUAGCGAGACUGCCGGUAAUAACCGGGGGAAGGUGGGGAUGACGUCAAAUCAUCAUGCCCCUUAUGACCUGGGCUACACACGUGCUACAAUGGUUGGUACAACGAGUUGCGAGUCGGUGACGGCGAGCUAAUCUCUUAAAGCCAAUCUCAGUUCGGAUUGUAGGCUGCAACUCGCCUACAUGAAGUCGGAAUCGCUAGUAAUCGCGGAUCAGCACGCCGCGGUGAAUACGUUCCCGGGCCUU
rnacentral:rRNA from 1 species